UGCAUAGCAGGGCCAAAUGCUA
rnacentral:siRNA from 1 species